rnacentral:rRNA from 1 species
UAGGGAAUCUUCCGCAAUGGACGAAAGUCUGACGGAGCAACGCCGCGUGAGUGAAGAAGGAUUUCGGUUCGUAAAACUCUGUUGUUAGGGAAGAAAAAAUGUAUAGUAACUAUAUACAAAAGAGACGGUACCUAACCAGAAAGCCCCGGCUAACUUCGUGCCAGCAGCCGCGGUAAUACGAAGGGGGCUAGCGUUGUUCGGAUUUACUGGGCGUAAAGCGCACGUAGGCGGACUAUUAAGUCAGGGGUGAAAUCCCGGGGCUCAACCCCGGAACUGCCUUUGAUACUGGUAGUCUUGAGUUCGAGAGAGGUGAGUGGAAUUCCGAGUGUAGAGGUGAAAUUCGUAGAUAUUCGGAGGAACACCAGUGGCGAAGGCGGCUCACUGGCUCGAUACUGACGCUGAGGUGCGAAAGCGUGGGGAGCAAACAGG